rnacentral:rRNA from 1 species
GACGAACGCUGGCGGCGUGCCUAAUACAUGCAAGUAGAACGCUGAAGGCGGAGCUUGCUUCUCUGGAUGAGUUGCGAACGGGUGAGUAACGCGUAGGUAACCUGCCUGGUAGCGGGGGAUAACUAUUGGAAACGAUAGCUAAUACCGCAUAAUAGUAGAUGUUGCAUGACAUUUGCUUAAAAGGUUCACUUGCAUCACUACCAGAUGGACCUGCGUUGUAUUAGCUAGUUGGUGGGGUAACGGCUCACCAACGAGACGUUAGAUAACCGACCUGACAGGGGGAUCUGCCUAGCUGGGACGGAGACACGGCCCAGAAUCCUACGGCAGGCAGCCGUAGGGGAUCUUCGGCAAUGGACGGAAGUCGGACUGAGCAACGCCGCGUGAGUGAAGAAGGUUUUCGGGUCGUAAAACUCUGUUGUAAGAUAAGAUCGUGUGGGAGAGUGAAAAGUUCACACAGUGACGGUACCGUACCAGAAAGGUACGGCUAACUACGUG